UACGUAGGGUGCGAGCGUUAAUCGGAAUUACUGGGCGUAAAGCGUGCGCAGGCGGUUCGUUAUGUCCGAUGUGAAAGCCCCCAGCUCAACUGGGGAAGGGCCUUGGAAACUGCCGGUCUCGAGGGAGGUAGGGGCCUGUGGAACUUCGGGUGGAGCGGUGAAAUGCGUUGAUAUCCGAAGGAACGCCGGUGGCGAAAGCGACGGGCUGGAUCUCUUCUGACGCUGAGGCGCGAAAGCUAGGGUAGCGAACGGG
rnacentral:rRNA from 1 species